rnacentral:rRNA from 1 species
CAAGUCGAACGCUUCUUUCCUCCCGAGUGCUUGCACUCAAUUGGAAAGAGGAGUGGCGGACGGGUGAGUAACACGUGGGUAACCUACCCAUCAGAGGGGGAUAACACUUGGAAACAGGUGCUAAUACCGCAUAACAGUUUAUGCCGCAUGGCAUAAGAGUGAAAGGCGCUUUCGGGUGUCGCUGAUGGAUGGACCCGCGGUGCAUUAGCUAGUUGGUGAGGUAACGGCUCACCAAGGCCACGAUGCAUAGCCGACCUGAGAGGGUGAUCGGCCACACUGGGACUGAGACACGGCCCAGACUCCUACGGGAGGCAGCAGUAGGGAAUCUUCGGCAAUGGACGAAAGUCUGACCGAGCAACGCCGCGUGAGUGAAGAAGGUUUUCGGAUCGUAAAACUCUGUUGUUAGAGAAGAACAAGGACGUUAGUAACUGAACGUCCCCUGACGGUAUCUAACCAGAAAGCCACGGCUAACUACGUGCCAGCAGCCGCGGUAAUACGUAGGUGGCAAGCGUUGUCCGGAUUUAUUGGGCGUAAAGCGAGCGCAGGCGGUUUCUUAAGUCUGAUGUGAAAGCCCCCGGCUCAACCGGGGAGGGUCAUUGGAAACUGGGAGACUUGAGUGCAGAAGAGGAGAGUGGAAUUCCAUGUGUAGCGGUGAAAUGCGUAGAUAUAUGGAGGAACACCAGUGGCGAAGGCGGCUCU